rnacentral:lncRNA from 1 species
GCGGAGAGGGGCACAGCGGCGGCGCAGGCGCGGAGAGGCGCACAGCGCGGCACAGCGAGGCGCCGGCCCAGACUCCACUCCCCAGCUGUGAAAGGUGAUGGGAACAGUGAGAAUCAGACUUGGAACACGGAGCGCAUUGUGGGCCUGUCGUGGGUGGGGCCAGCAGCACAUGCAUGCCGGGCUGACAGAGCAGCCUUUGGGUGUUCUUUUCCCAGAGGAGCUCUACGGUGACUUUGAAGACUUGGAAACAGGGGACGUGCACAAGGGAAAAUCGGGCCCCGAUACUCAGAAUGAAGAUGUAGAGAAACAAGGAAGAAAUUGACCCUGACGAAGAAGAAAGUGCCAAGAAAAAGCAUUUGGAUAAGAAGAGAAAAUUGAAGGAGAUGUUUGAUGUGGAAUAUGAUGAAGGAGAAAGCACAUAUUUUGAUGAUCUUAAAGGAGAAAUGCAGAAACAAGCACAGAUAACAGCAUACAGGUUUCCCCCCCCGACCCCGUCAUGUACAGCUGAAUCAUGCAGAAUUUGAAGAUCAAGAUGAUGAAGCCAGAGUUCAGUAUGAGGGUUUUCGACCUGGGAUGUACGUCUGCGUUGAGAUUGAAAAUGUUCCCUGUGAAUUUGUGUAGAACUUUGACCCCCGUUACCCCAUUAUCCUGGGUGGCUUGGGCAACAGCGAGGGAAAUGUUGGAUACGUGCAGAUGCGUCUGAAGAAACAUCGCUGGUAUAAGAAAAUCCUCAAGUCCCGAGAUCCAAUCAUAUUUUCUGUAGGGUGGAGGAGGUUUCAGACCAUCCCGCUCUGUUAUAUCGAAGACCACAAUGGAAGACAAAGGCUUCUAAAGUAUACCCCACAGCAUGUGCAUCGCGGAGCAGCCUUUUGGGAUAAAAUAUGAUUACAAUAACUUGCCUAUUGCUGAGAUUAAACCUUACAGGCUGCGUUAUUUUAGCUUUGUGCUUUUCCUUUCAUAAAAUUCCACUCCUAAGAUUUUUCUCUUUUCUGGGAGCAGGGAGGUGGUUUGGAGUAUAUACGUAAAUCUAUAUCCAAAUCUAAAUGUCCAUAUCCAGUAUGUUAAACUAGAAUCUAAAAUUUGUGGUUUGCUAUAUUUCUUUUUUUCCUUUUCCUUUAAGACCCUAUCACUCCACAGGGAACUGGUUUCUUGGCAAUACAGUCUGUCAGUGGCAUAAUGGUAACUAUCUUGGAUGAUUUCUUUUACAGAUUGGUUUUGAGAAAUAUAUCCUGAAUGUGGAUUACUAUGUACAUGAGACUUUAAGUUGAAAAUUACUCAUUUUUAUUAAUAUAAAGUAAAUUUCCCUUUGCUUUUAAUCUUCGUACAUCCUUUUCAGUAGGGUGUGGGAUUAGAGGAGGGGAGGUGGAAGAAUUAUAAUGGUACAUUUCCUAUUUUUGUGCAUCUUUUGCAUUUAUUUAUCUAAGCAAGUACUUAAGCAGUGCUCACCAUGUGCUAAGCACUGUAUGAGGUUGUGAGGAGCCAUCAGAGACCACCCAGACACAAGACUCCCUGCAGCUGUGCUGGGGUAGCAGUCUGUUCACUCCAUUUUCAUUUGACCAGUCAGGCAGGGCAGGGUUUACUGGUCCCAUUUAACAGAGAAGAAAGCAGAAUAAUGAGCAGAUGGAAUCUUCCCUGGAGGUCCAAAUUUUAAUUUCCUAAACAUUGCAACUGUAUUUUUCUUUUCCAUUUCGUUCCAAAUAAAUCAUUAUAGUAAAAUUACAUUCCUCUGAAAUCACUCUCAGGAAAGUACUCAAGUAGCCUUUUUUUUUUCUUUCUUUUUUUUUUUUUUUUUUGAGACAGAGUUGCACUCUGUCGUCCAGGCUGGAGUGCAGUGGCACAAUCUUGGCUCGCUGCAACCUCUGCCUCCUGGGUUUAAGCGGUUCUCCUGCCUCAGCCUCCCGAGUAGCUGGGAUUACAGGUGUGCACCAUCAUGCCGAGCCAAUUUUUGUAUUUUUAGUAGAGACAGGAUUUCCCCAUGUUGGCCAGACUGGUUUCAAACUUCUGACCUCAGGUGAUCUACCUGCCUUGGCCUCCCAAAGUGCUGGGAUUACAGGUAUGAGCCACUGUGCCCAGCCUCAAGUCACCCUUGUUAGUUUGGCUUACCAACUUUAAAGUUUUGGAUUGCUUUUGUCAAGCCACUGGGUUGCAAGUUCAGAUGGUCUUUCUUGUUUUUCUUAGCUAAUUGUAAGUAAAAUUCACUUUGGUAAUUUAUUGUGUCACAUAGAAUUGAAGUUUUUCUCUUGCUAAUAUUAUUCCUAUUUUCAAAUUUUGGGGUUCCUGUUAGCCUGAUUUUCGGAUAGCUGCCACAGGAGUUGUCCUUGAUCUGGAUAAAUCCAUAAAAAUUGUGAAGAAAUUAAAGCUAACUGGUUUUCCAUAUAAAAUUUUUAAGAACACUUCAUUUAUUAAGGGAAUGUUUAAUUCAGCCUUGGAAGUGGCCAAAUUUGAAGGUGCUGUGAUUCGAACUGUCAGUGGGAUAAGGGGGCAGAUCAAGAAAGCACUCUGAGCUCCAGAAGGAGCUUUCCGGGCCAGCUUUGAGGAUAAGCUGCUGAUGAGCGAUAUUGUCUUCAUGCAAACUUGGUAUCCUGUUUCCAUCCCAGCCUUCUAUAACCCAGUAACAUCUUUGUUGAAACCAGUGGGUGAGAAAGACACCUGGUCAGGAACGCGGACCACGGGCCAACUCAGGCUUGCCCAUGGUGUCAGACUAAAGGCAAACAAGGACUCUCUGUAUAAGGUACUGGUCGUGUGUGUGUUAGUGGAGAUGAAGCCUGUGCUCUACAGACAGGGAGUCACACAGACACUUUUCUAUAAUUUCUUACGUACUUUGAAUGUUCAAGUAUAAAGUCUAACAUUAAAUUUGAUUGAACAAUUGUAUGUUUGUGGGAUAUUUUGGAGUGGAACACCAAAAAAUGGUAAUAGUGGUUCUUUCUGGAUUGAAGACAAACUUUUCUUUUUUAAAAUAAAUUUUAUUUUAUAUAUUUGAGGUUGACAAC